GAUGAACGCUGGCGGCGUGCCUAAUACAUGCAAGUCGAACGAAACUUCUUUAUUACCGUGUGCUUCCACUCUCCGAUACAGAGUUGUGUGGCGAACGGAAGCGUCACACGUCGGCAAGCUGCCCACAAGAGGCGGAUGACACUUGGAAAUAGGUGCUCCUGCUGCAUAACGAUAGUUACAGCGUUGUAACUAUUUGGAAGGUGGUCGUACUUUCGCUUCUUGUUGGUCCGGCGGUGCCUUAGCUAGUUGGUAGGGUAAAGGCUUACUAAGGGGAUGAUGCGUAGACGAAUGCAUAGGUUGAUCGGCCACAUUGGGAGUGGGACGCGGCCCAAACGCCUGAGGGAGGCAGCAGUAGCGAAUCGGCCACAGUGGGCGAAAGCCUGAUGGAGCAACGCCGCGUGGGUGAAGAAGGUCUUCGGAUCGUAAAACCCUGUUGUGAGAGAAGAAAGGGCGUGGGAGGAACUGUUCACGUUUCGACGGUAUCUAAUCAAAAAGCCACGGCUAACUACGUG
rnacentral:rRNA from 1 species